rnacentral:lncRNA from 1 species
GAGAGACUUCGGGGGAGGAAUCGAAGAGCGAGCGAGAGAGAAAUCGGGUCACGAGCUCGACCGACCUCCCACUGAGAGACUUCGGGGGAGGUCGCCGGCGAGCGAGUCCGAGGAGGUCAGAUCUGGCCAGUGGAGGCUCGGAUCUAACCGGAGUGAGAGAGAAGCGAGGUCGGAGGAGGCGAAGGAGUUCUGGAUCCGCGAAGAGAGGCAGAAGAAGAGGUCCCACCCCCCGACGUCGCUGCUGUGCCGAAUCCCGCCGUGCCGCCGUCUCGUUGUCGACACCGCCAACCGAG